rnacentral:tRNA from 1 species
GGACGAAGAGGCCGAGAGGGGGGGGGCAGCAGUUUGCUAAAUUGUGGGAAGCGGGUUCGAAUCCUGUGUUCGUCC